CGCCUCUUGAACCCCUAUAAGAGGUCCAGCCUGCCCAGUGACUCUGUUCAACGGCCGCGGUAUCCUAACCGUGCGAAGGUAGCGUAAUCACUUGUUCUUUAAAUGUGGACUAGUAUGAAUGGCAUCACGAAGGUUAUACUGUCUCCUUUUUCUAAUCAGUGAAACUAAUCUCCCCGUGAAGAAGCGAGGAUAAAACUAUAAGACGAGAAGACCCUAUGGAGCUUUAAACAUUUAUAACACUUGCUAAAUAAAAUACAAAUUUCAGAAUUAUUCACUCUUUAAGCAACUUGUCUAUAAGUUUUUGGUUGGGGUGACCGCGGAGCAUAAUAUAACCUCCAUGUUGAAAGAUCUACUUCUAAGCUAAGAGCUACACCUCUAAGCAUCAACAUAUUGACAUCCAUUGACCCAAUAUAUUUGAACAACGAACCAAGUUACCCUAGGGAUAACAGCGCAAUCCACUUCAAGAGCUCCUAUCGACAAGUGGGUUUACGACCUCGAUGUUGGAUCAGGGUUUCCCAGUGGUGCAGCCGCUACUAAAGGUUCGUUUGUUCAACGAUUAAAACCCUACG
rnacentral:rRNA from 1 species